AUUUUAUUCUGUUAACUCUGGCCAGUGAAUCAUUCUUAGUUCAUUUUUUUCCCGUGAGCUCCUUUUUUCCUACAUAAAAGUUCAUCGAUCAGUAUAUAAGCUAAAUUUUUUUGGAUUUAAAUAUAAAAUACUUUUACAUUCCUCGACCUGCAUGUAAGGUUACAUUCUUCGGUUACAUGCAGUACAAUAAUUGAUUCUCCACGGACACUUAUAAAUGAAAAAUGUUGGUAGACUUUUAAACCAUAUUUUAACAAAAGUUACUAAUUUUUUUCACUCUAAAUCGCAAUGGUCUGCGGCUGAAAAAACUCCAAGCGAUCUUCCAUUUAAGUCGGCUACCUCAUAAGAACUGGUGCCCUUCUUUUUUAUUACAAUACAAGGCGUGUAUUGUGGACCCAGCUUGGCAUUGAAUUUACUACUUGCCACGGACUGACGAAAACACCUUUUGUAAA